GAUGAACGCUGGCGGCGUGCCUAAUACAUGCAAGUCGAGCGAACGGACGAGAAGCUUGCUUCUCUGAUGUUAGCGGCGGACGGGUGAGUAACACGUGGAUAACCUACCUAUAAGACUGGGAUAACUUCGGGAAACCGGAGCUAAUACCGGAUAAUAUUUUGAACCGCAUGGUUCAAAAGUGAAAGACGGUCUUGCUGUCACUUAUAGAUGGAUCCGCGCUGCAUUAGCUAGUUGGUAAGGUAACGGCUUACCAAGGCAACGAUGCAUAGCCGACCUGAGAGGGUGAUCGGCCACACUGGAACUGAGACACGGUCCAGACUCCUACGGGAGGCAGCAGUAGGGAAUCUUCCGCAAUGGGCGAAAGCCUGACGGAGCAACGCCGCGUGAGUGAUGAAGGUCUUCGGAUCGUAAAACUCUGUUAUUAGGGAAGAACAUAUGUGUAAUUAACUGUGCACAUCUUGACGGUACCUAAUCAGAAAGCCCCGGCUAACUACGUG
rnacentral:rRNA from 1 species